AGAGCGAACGCUGGCGGCAUGCUUAACACAUGUAAGUCGCACGAGUACUUUCGGGUAUUAGUGGCGGACGGGUGAGUAUCGCGUAGGGAUUUAUCGUUGGGUGGGGGACAACCUUGGGAAACUGGGGCUAAUACCGCAUGACGCCUGAGGGCCAAAGCACGUUGUGGCGCCUGACGAGAAGCCUGCGUCCGAUUAGGUAGUUGGUUGGGUAAUGGCUGACCAAGCCUGCGAUCGGUAGCUGGUCUGAGAGGAUGAUCAGCCACACUGGGACUGAGACACGGCCCAGACUCCUACGGGAGGCAGCAGUGGGGAAUAUUGGACAAUGGGCGCAAGCCUGAUCCAGCAAUGCCGCGUGGAUGAAGAAGGUCUUCGGAUUGUAAAGUCCUUUCGACGGGGACGAUGAUGACGGUACCCGUAGAAGAAGCCCCGGCUAACUUCGUGCCAGCAGCCGC
rnacentral:rRNA from 1 species